AAGAAGACAAACACUGGUUUCCGUGUCCAACGUUUGUCCGUCCGUCUUAUUUAAAAAAAAUUAAAAGACAAGUCAUGCAUAAAGUAUUAAUCAUGUUUUAUCAUCUAACAACAAUGAAAAUACUAAUUAUAAAAAAAAUCAUAUAAGACGGACAAUCAAACGUUUGACACGGAAAUCCAGUGUUUGUUUUUUU
rnacentral:pre_miRNA from 1 species